GGAGGAUCCGAGCGUUAUCCGGAUUUAUUGGGUUUAAAGGGAGCGUAGGCGGGUUGUUAAGUCAGUUGUGAAAGUUUGCGGCUCAACCGUAAAAUUGCAGUUGAUACUGGCGACCUUGAGUGCAGUUGAGGCAGGCGGAAUUCGUGGUGUAGCGGUGAAAUGCUUAGAUAUCACGAAGAACUCCGAUUGCGAAGGCAGCCUGCUAAGCUGCAACUGACAUUGAGGCUCGAAAGUGUGGGUAUCAAACAGGAUUAGAUACCCUGGUAGUCCACACGGUAAACGAUGAAUACUCGCUGUUUGCGAUAUACGGCAAGCGGCCAAGCGAAAGCGUUAAGUAUUCCACCUGGGGAGU
rnacentral:rRNA from 1 species